UGACGCCCGAAAUGUCUAACCACGCACACGUUAGCAACCGUAAGAGAGGUUUUCGUGUUGACAUCGUGUUUCCCGAACAAUUGAAAUUUAACGAGCUUCAACCGUUUUUCGACACUUCGAAAAGCAUCGUCAACCCUAAAAGAAUAUCGUGUACUCCGUCACAGGAUUCCGAGACGUUGAAUCUCAUCUCUGAAGAGCUUGCUCUUUUGCCCCUCUCAGACAUGUGACCACCACAAACACAGAUUCAGCGUACACAGACUAGUCUGAGCCACUCUCACGCACUCACGCAUGCACUCACAAACAGGUCGGCCAUCUUUCUUUCUGUUAGCCUGCACCCUACUCCUCCUACCCGCCAUUGCGCCCUCCUACACCUCCUCAACCUCGUACCCACCCCUCUCUGACGCUCCUCGCCCUCACGACCACCACCCUUCCGCCGACAACGACGGUCGACCUCGCUGCGCGCAUUGGCGUCCACCCUACAUUUUUUCACAGUCGAACGUUCUCGAUUCUCAAAACUUUCCUAAACAUCAUCCUCUGCAUGCUCAAAGGUUCCUGCGAAUAGCUGUACAAACAUUAUGGCUCGAUGCAGAAUAACGAGAGUUUACGACAGGAAAAAUAAAAAUUUACGACCGAUAGUGGAGAACAACCACAAGGACAUUACUUAGAAAAAGGUGGUCAAGUCAAACCUCGACGCAAUUUUCAACAGCGAUAUUAAAUAUUUUACGAAUAUUUUGGUUAUUCAUUUUGACUUGUAUUUAACGGACAUAUUAUGUUAAUUUUUUUUUUUUUUUUUUUUUUUGGAGUUUAUACAUAAAAGUGGUCGACCCUGUAGCGAGCUGCGUGGCUUUUCAGCGAUUUCCUACGCAACGUUCCGUUCCCAUAGAGCGAUUAAAUCUAUGCACCGUUGCCGACCCUCCGUUAAACAUGAUCGCCCCUCGAUGCGCAUUGCUGCGGCGGUCACCCCUCUUUUUCACUAAAUUUUUUUCCCUAGUAUCCUAUAAAAAAUCAACUUCAUUCCAAAGGAUAAUAUUCCGCGCUGUAAAAUAACCUUCUGAAGUUCGACCGUUAACAAUUACGAUUUUCAGAUGUAUUAUUUCCACGGAUACUACUAUGUCGUAACGAUGCUAUUAAUAAAUGGUACUGCAGCAAUUAUAGUUGUAAAUAAUUGUAAUUAAUAACUUCGAUUACUACUUGCUUAUUAACUUCAAUUUACAAUUUGCUUUAUUAUUAUAUUUUUUAUUUUAAUAAGAUCGAGAGCAGGUAAGGUCGGUAUAUAAUAUUGUUUAGUUCGCGAAUAACAUAGUUUCAGCGGAAACUGUGCUAGCAUGAAAAAGAAAAAAAUUGUUCGAUUAGAUCAACUACGGCGCUGUUAAAGGACUGACUAAUAAUUUGCUUGUAACUCGUUAUUCAAUGCGACCUCAGUUUUUCAAGCACGCAGUCACGAGAAACGUGGCAACCUCGGUUGACGUACAGUGUCGUGCAAACGUAUUACUGUAUUACGUACAACCACGAUACUAGCAGGUGUAACUAGGGCGCGAAGCUGAACAACCAUUUCGCGAUAUAGUUGCAUGGUGUUAUGAAAACAGGUGCAGGUAUACCCGAUUCUUGCUCUACGACGUCCAGUUUAGACCGACCGGCCUGUUGUUGACACACCAUCCCCGGUGAAUCAUUCCAAGGAUAAAGGAGAUUCAGACAAAAGAACGACCAGCGGAAAAUAAAUACAUACUUCGAAACGUUACUCUCGGAAUCUAUUAUUGCGGAGCAUUAUCAAAGUAACUGACCCCUUAUAAACAACGUGACGUGUAAUAUGCAACAAUAGAAUACGAACAGGGUGAAGUAUUCGUCACUAUUGAGAAGAUUAUAUAGCUAGAAUGUAUGUCACCACAUUAUAAUGAUUAACAUAUAAAGUUAAAUCCUUUGUAUCUCUUCAUAUAUUUACUAUUAGUCGACCUUUUCUGACGAUCAGCUGAGAAAUGGAAUAAUAUAGUUCGAGAAGUACCCGUUUGAAAUGUACUAUCCUAGUGUCGCUGAAAAAGUAACAUCACCAUUGUUUUCCAGAAAGAUUUAGGGUUUUUGAGCAAUUAACGAAAACACAAAUGUGUCAUACUAUAUCUGCAUGAGAAUCAAAACUGCAACCAGUUGGCAAAAAUGCAAACUGCUGUCAGAGCUCGACAUUCUUGUAAUGGAUAUAUCCUGACGACCACGCAGUCGUAAUCCACACACGUAAUAAAAGGAACAACGGAUGGGGAGUACAGGGAGAGGCAGCACGUUGCACAGUCAUCACCGUUACACGAAUGCGCAGGCGCACGAAGAUCGUGUACACGUUUUUUUGCACAUAAACUAGAAAUUGGAACGGAGAGAUUAAUUAACGCACGGGUGGUGACACUGUCGACUGCCGACCGAAAGGCACAUUCUGACACGUGCUCGAACUCGAGGCUGUGGCACUGAUCCGAUCUCGCGCGUUUGCGGAGACGAGUAAGUCAAAUGAGAAAAUACGAUAUACACGGGGGAAAAUCACUAAGAGGAAGUGAACACGAACGACAGUAACAACGAUGCUCCUUCACGAGGGAAGCAACUGCAAAAGUAUUACUGGGACUAAGGAAUAAGCAGCUGAAUGAAC